rnacentral:lncRNA from 1 species
AAUAAAUUAAAGUUUAAAAAUUAAUAUGUCACACAUUUUAUAGUUUGAGAUCCAACAUUGCAAUUUGGCCUAAAAUUAAUACACCCUCUAACUUAAGAUAUAUAUAUAUAUAUAUAUAUAUAUAUAUAUAGAGCAGGACUGCUGUGCUCUCAGGAGCUCCGUGCUCCUGAGCCGUUUUCGAUGAUGGAAUUUCCGAAUCGACGAUCGGCUCUGUUAGACUUGAUCUAGCAUAUUUGAAGUUUCUAGAAAAUAAUUUUUGCGAUUUUUCAAUAUCAUUUACCUAGCAAUCGAAAGGAUUCAAAAUCUAUAAUUUUUAACGGCUGAAAAUAAAAAUUCUAUAAAAAAUUGUGAUAUAGCACUAAAAUUUUCGAUCAGAAAUAUUGAUCUUGUUGUAGAUAGUAUAAAGAAUUUUGUAUCAAAAUUUCAUCUGAUUUGAAUACUUCUAUACCGUUAAACUUGAAAACGGCAGAUAUCANUAUAUAUAUAUAUAUAUAUAUAUAUAUAUAUAUAUAUAUAUAUAUAUAUAUAUAUAUAUAAUGUCUCAAAUAUUGUGGUGGUUGUCUCCCAUGUAUGUAUGAGUGGAUGCCAACAACCACGUGACCACACCAAGAACGAGGUUGUGUGGCUCCACUGCCAUAAUAUAAACUGUUUCUAGAAGAGGAAAUUCUUUAGUACAUUCUACGAUUUUGCAUGGACUAUAAAUCACGGAGAAACUAUUGUAUGUACCCUAUUGUAUGUACCCUGUAACCCUGCUCAUUUCAGCUCAAAUCAAAAUGUUACUAAAAUACAACUUAAAAAAUCAUUGCAUAGGUCCUAUAAUACCUAAAAAUAUAUAUGUGAUAGAUAUUAUAUGUUUUAGACGUUAAAUAAGGCCGUUAAACAUACGAGACUGUAAGUUCAAUCCUUAUUUUCAACAUCUGUUUAAUGGAUUAAACUAUUUACUCUAGCUUUUGUACAAUGAUAUAAUCCUAUGUUAGCUCCUCCCAUCAUUUUUAUAACAUAUAUUUGUAUCAUCAUACAAAAAGGAGUAACAAAUAGAAUUAAUUAAGCAAAUAUAAAAGAGAAGGGUUAAUUUCAUAUAUGUCCCUGCAAAUAUAGUAAAUUACAAAUAUAUUCCUAUAAAGUUUAAUUUUCAUAUAUUGCACCUACAAAAGUCUUAAUAUUUUUAAAUAUGUCUUGUCUCUAUAAUUUGUUAUUGUUAAAACACUAUCUAUUUUAUAAAUAAAAUGAUCUUUUUACCAUCACAAAUAUGUUCCUCUAAAAAUUCCUCCAAAAAUUCCAACUGUUAAUUGAAGAGAGAUAAAAAGGUCAAUUCAUCUCAUUGACUAACUAGGGUUAAGUAUUUUACCUAUGGUUAACUAAUUUUUUCUAAUGGAUCAUAACGAUAGGGACAUAUUUGAAAAUAUCAGGACUUUUACAGAAAUAAUAUAUAAAAAUUGAACUUUGUAGGAAUAUUUUUGUAGUUUGCAAGAAUCUGUAUGAAAUUAACCCAAAAGAGAAAUACAUGUAGACUCGAAAGGAAGCUUCAAUUAGUUGUAAACAUAUUAGGAGAAAAACAAAGGGCAAUAGAAAACAUGGUCCCCAAAGGCAGGUUAAGUUGUGGUCCUAUAUAUGGGACAAAAGAUGAUGAACCCACAAAGCUUUGCUGUUGCUUUACGCAUAAAGCAUGACUAUGAAAGGAAAAAAAAAAAAUUUCCAAACUAAUCCAAACCUAAUGCCUUUGUUGAACUGGCCAUGUUGAUGUGCAGGUCUCGAUUUGAUGUUGGUUUUAUUUUGAAAUUUAUUGGCCAAUAAAAUGAACAGCAUCCUUUGCUAUUUUACUGAUCAUAGCAAGAGCUGUAAUUUAUGAAAAAUAAUGUUAACUAGUAAGAUCAACUAUUACAAGUAAAUAAAAACUAACUCCCUUUUAAAUUUCUAAUCCAUCUUUUGUGCAAAUUACACUUCAUUAUUUGAUUCCAAAUCAUUACAGUAACAGUAUUAUUAUCUAGAUUUCAAAAUUCAGAGAAUCUAGUACCAUUUUUCCGUUCAGUUUUCUUUUGGAACUCUUCUUGUUAUUCUCUGAAUUCUUACCGAAUUCGAAAGGUUUCGACCCUGUGAAAUUCGUCGAAAAUGCUGAACUUGUGACUACGGUCACAAGAAGAACAUUGGCCUCCAAAAAGAUUCCUAGACUCAACAAGUGCAUGAAAUAGUUGUGUUUCUGAUUUGCUGACCAGUGCAGAAAUACUGGGAAAAUCUCUUCCAGCAAAUUCACUUUCAGAAGAUCCAAUUAAGAGGCCCAAACUAGUUCUGUUUAUGGGCCAGCCGACAGGCCGAAUUUAUCAAAUUGUCCUCGUCAAUUUUUUAAAAAAAUAACAUAUUCAGAUCCAUCUCUUUUUGCGUGGCUUUUGAAACAACUUCUCCAUUUCAGACGCAUCUCACUAAGACACGUUCCUUACUAUAUAUAUGUGAUGUGUAUCGAAAGAAAACUUGUAAUUAAAUGGUGUACAAUGUGCAACAGAAGAAGAUAUCUGCAAGCAGUAGAAGAGGAUAUCUACAAGAUUCCAAGCUACAUACAUAUCUUUGGCAUAAAUGCUGAGGUUCAUUAGGAAAGAAAAUUAUUUCAGGAAAAAAUAAUUUGAAAGAAUUUACUUACCCUCUACUUGUUAAUAUAUAUAUAGAGGCCACCGAUGAAGGGAGAUACUAGGAAGAGAUUAGAGAGUUCCAAAAUGGCAAAAAUGAUGAGAAUGUGUGCCGCAGAGAUUGGUUGGGGUGAUCGGGCUUUGUCGUUCAUCGAGUCAGUUUGCGUAAUGAGGUUCAGAUUUCGAUCCCGUGGGAGGUUUAUGUUGUCCUCCUCUGCCACUCUUAGGAUGGAAGUAUGUUUUUAUCUAAAUCGUCUCACGUAUCAUAUCUUAAAAUUUUUCAAAUUUAUCGUAAUACUGUGCCUAUAUCUUGUCAAUAUUCUAUAUUCGUAUCUGAGUCUAAAGACUUGAGAAUUUCUACAGUGAGUGUCUCAUCUUUGUUUCAAGAUCUUCCUAAGAUUACGAUUUCUCGUGGUGAAUGGGAAUAAAAUCUCUUUCAGUUUCAAAACACAAAUAUCCAAAAUGCAUUGAAGUAACACUUCAAUGCAGUUCAUGAUUUCAAGCCAUUUAUCCUCCUGUGAUUAUUUGUGUUAGUGUUUGAUAUUAGAAAAGAACUACUAUCAAACAAACUUUUAACUAAAUAUUUUUUCACUGAAUUCUGCAGGGUAUAUUUCCACCCAUAAAUUUUGUAUAGAAGACAGGAAUAUUUGACACCGCAAUAACACUCGCCUCCGCGAACCGACCUAGAGGAUGUAGAGGCCAGAGAAAGCACAUCAAAAGAAUAAAUUGUGACAUCAAAUACAUGAGUGAAGACGAUAUCCAACUAAAAGACAUUUUACAACUUUUCCUGAUGUUUUCUUUGUGGCAUCUCUAUCAUGAUGUUUUGCGUCUUCAUUAUACGUCAAAAAUGUAUUGUUUGUCUUGUUUUGCAUCUUCAUUAUACGUCAAAAAUGUCUUAUUUUGCUUCUUUAUUAUAUAUCAAAAAUGUCUUGAUAAUCGAUAUAUGUAAAGCUAUCACAACAAUUAGAUGAUUGUUUUUUUUUUCUUUACUCAUAGGCUGGCUUAAAAUCAGUAACACAAAAUUCAACAACUAUUUUGUUCAUUUUCAUGGCAAAGAAUAGCUUUAACCUUCACAAUUUGAAAAUGGGAAACAAGAACUCAAAUUUUAUAAUUGGAGUCAAAUUCUCCCAGCAACAGAAGGUUUGAAUUCAAAAUAUUCGAAAACGAUAAGGUAAGAAAAUACAGAUGAACAGUAAAGGGUAGCAUUACAAAGAGAAUUUACAGGGAGGAACAGUCAAAACCAGCACCCAAUCUCCAAACUAUACAACAAAGGAUUUUUUUUUACAAAAAAACAUAGGGAGAAAAUAAUAACUAUACAAAUAUAGAAAAAAAAUACAACCAUGUCAGGACCCACGGUGAUUAAAAGACCUUGGUGUCAUGGCUUCGUAGAGCGACAAUUUGGUUAAAUCUGGAUUUCUUGCGAGUAGCCAACCGAUCUUGGAGGUGAUUUUCCACAUAGCCCACAGUUCGUACCAUCAGGCCUCAUAAAAUCCUCGCAUCGGUGUGCGUUACCUACUCCGUGAGGUGAAACUUGGUUUAGGUUUUGUCCACUACAAAACAAUGAUUCCUGCGAACAGUGUUGAAAUAGCAGUUUAAGAGUGGAAAUCGUGAAUUGCUCACCCAUGAAUUAAUAAAAAUCACAAGCAUCCUGAGAAAAGUAAACAUUGCACAACGGCAUACACGGUAAAGAUGAUUUGUCUCACAUCAUUGGUACAACCAAUAUGCACAAUGAUAAAUUAGAAAAGCCUCCAUUAAAGAUAUCAUUAUGCAAGACAACACAGAUGUGAAACUAUUCCAAGUUUUCGUAGCAUGAUUAGCUAUGUUACUUGUACUUCUACUUCAUUAAAGUUUACGGGCUAUAGAAGUCUCUAGUCUCUUUCUUUCUGCAGAGUUAUUUCUGAUUAAGGUAACUAACAGAACCGAAAGAACUACCAAGUGAUCAUAUAGAAAUGAACAAACAAGAAUGAAAUACCUUUGUUUGCCGCCCAAAGCUUUCACUACAAGAAUAAGAUGCAAGCUGUUCAUUGCUGCAGCGGCAUGCAUCACUUAUAGCUGGUGGGUAGAAGCUUCGUGUUUCUUGAGCAAGUUUUUGGGGUGUGGAAAAACAUGCACCUGAUCUUUGACUGGUCCACUGAUUUCCAAGGGGAGUGUUUAAUGUGUGAGAGUAGUCCUGGGACAGCAUGUAAUACGAACUUCGGUGCUCCUCUCUACAAAUGGGACUAGUAUCUUGGUGGCCUCUUAGAAAGGCCGUAGAGCUAAAGCCUUGAUGUUGUUGGAAGAAGCAGGUAGUUGGAGUAUAUGGUGGAGCAACGGGGCCAGGAUAUGACAUGAAUGGUGACAUUUUUCCAUGAGAAAGCAAAGAUGAAAGCUUUGCCCCACCGGAAUUUGCAUUUGGAGUAGCAUAGCCUUCUAUUGUUAACCCUUGCUUAGCAGCCAAUUCCAUUAUCUGCUUCUGAUUAAGCCCUAAUCCAAAAAGCAUGUUCCAGAGGUUCCUCAGAGCUUCUCUUUGGUUGUGUAUCACUUGAUCACGCAUAGCCAUCUCAAAUUGAAGCUCCGCAUUGGCCAUUCCCUAUAUAUUUAACAAUGAAAGAUAUUAUUACUUCAUUAUUAGGCGGAGAUAAAUUAUUGGAGCAAUGUGGGUUUACUUACAAGAAGCCUGUACUGGCUGAGAAUAUGCAGAUAAGUUUUGUUCCCAUUAUUACUAAUGGCUUCCUCAAUCAUAUCUUGAAGUUGACACCGACGUUUCUCAUUUAGUUCAAUAUCCUAAAAGGAAAGAGAUAGGAACAUAGCUGGUUAGUUGACCAAAGAGACAACAGAACAACAGAAAAAAAACAAAGGGAAAAGAAUACGAUGCUACCUUCUUGUAACCAGCACCAGCCUCAUCGUUAUCCCGAAUAUUAUCAAGAAUGAGCUGUCUCCUAGAUUUUAGCGCUUGUAGAACUGUUCCAUCCUUUUCUUGGACCUAGAAACAUGUCUCAUCAUUAGAAGCUGUUUAGGGAGUACUGAGUGCUAACUUUAGGCACGGACAUACAUAAUAUCUGUUUAACUUGUCUUUUGGAAUAGCUUCUUUACUCCAAAAAGCAGAAUCUUGUAGAAACAAGGUGUUCGAGCAAAAAAUACUCAAGCUUUUGUUGCAAUGGGAAGUUAAAUGAGCUUUUCGGUACCAAAAUCAGAAGAUCUAAGUUGAAACUUUGCUUUUGCUGAAACAGAAAACUGAGAAUUUUGUUAACAAAAAUCCUGUUAGUCCUCCUUCAAACAAUUUACUCAAACAACACAUUUCCGGAGAUCUGAUUGGGCCAAACAGGCCUUGGAGAAUAGCAAACGCUCCAUUUUACGUAAGAAAUAUCAAUAAAAUGCACCUGUUGUUUGGCAAUAGCAUCAUCAAGAUGUUGGAGCUCAAUGCGGUUAUGUAUAUUGGUCUCCUCAAGCUCAAAUAGUGCCUUCUGUAGGUUUAUACGUUCCUGAACAUUCUCACUAAUUUCACGGCUCAAAAUAUUCAACCAGGACAGCUCAUUGUCCGCAGCUGUUUCAGUUGGCCUUAUGCUUAAUUGUGAUUCUUUCUCUGCUAACUCCUUUUUCAACCGACAAACCUCAACCUUCGUAUAUCAUAAGCAAACAAUCAAGGUUAAAUAAGCCAUAUAAAUAAAAAAUAAAAAAGAAUAGCAGCUUUCUCAGAAAUUAUUACCUGAAGAUUGUCAAUCAUUUUCUGAUAGUCCUCAACAUGAGUAUCAACCGUCCCAAUGUUUUUCUGAAAAUUAAAGGAUUCUCAAAUUAGAUGGUAAUAUAAUCAAUCAUCGUGAUAAAACUGAGAAAGAAAGAUUUCUUCAUUUUUGUUUACUAUAAUAAUUAUAGGUAAAAUUAAAAUUUUAUUUAGUAUGAUAACUGUCAUUCCAUGGAAAAGUUGUUGUGCAAACAUUCUGUACUUACAUAUACAGACCUUGGUCAAGGAUCGAAUAACUCCCCCAAUGAUUGCUAUAGCUAAACAGUGUGAAUACUACAAUUAGACCAGAAACAAUGUUCUUACAUGCACGUGUGUUUUGAUCUCCUUAGCACGAUCAGCAUAUUUCAGUGUAUUGAUGGUGUGGUGAUACUGAUCAUCAGCAGGUGAUAUUGUAGCAACCAUAACAGUUUGAGAAUUACCGCUAAGUCCAUCCUUUAGUAUGCGGGUCAAUUUGCUGCAAAGGAAGAAAAAAGAAUUAGGUGAUUAGAGAAUUAAAAAUAGAAAAAAGAAAAUCACCUUUUGAAUAAACCAGUGAGUACCUGUUGCGAUAAGGAACGUACGCAAGACCCUUUUUGUGUUGCUUGCCCAGGGCAUUGAUGCAAUUCGCCAAAGCAAGAAGUGAACGGUUAAUAUUGGCUCCAUCUCUAAACUUUUGGCCGUUACUAUUUGUUUCAGAGGCCCUUUCACUGCUCAAAAGUUUUGUUUCUUCAUUAUUAACCAUAUUAUAGAAGAGACAAGAAUAGCACAACAUAAUGUCACGACCAAUUUUACUACUCUACCUGCCAGCAAGAUCAACUAAUGCUAGUUUUCCACGCAGGAUCUGAGCUCCAUAUUGGUUUUUCUGUUUCCGCUUCACAGUGAUCUCCAGUACAGCAUGUGAACUGUUAAAACAGAAAAGGUACAAAAGAAUAGGGGUUAAAGAAACUUCUCUUUUCAGAAUAUUGCGUUAGUAAGGAAGUCGCAAGAUGCCAAAAAUAUUAAAAGAAAAUAGGGAAAAGUAAAAAGCAUAAGAAUAUGCAUUGAAAUGUUGUAGCAAAAAGUUUUCAAAAGCGAAUAAAAUUUUAGAAGAAAUUAUGAAACCAGAAACCAGCUGAGGAAGCUAGCCAGGAGAGUGGAAUAAUUAUUGCAUUGUAGUAAUGGAUGUAGCUCAAGCUAUUAAAAUAUUAAAAAAUGCAUUAGAGAGCAAUAUAUAUAGAAAUACUUUUUAACUUAUUUACCGUGAUGAGGUUACAUUGGCUUCUGUGCUCUCUGUUUUGCGCCUACUGUUCCCAAGAUUCAAAAGUUCAAGAAUCCUAUCAGCUGACUGAACCUGAGGAAAUUGGAAAAGCUUAGAUGAAUCACGGAAUUAUGUUGGGGAACAACUCUUGCAAACAUAAAUGCAACAAAGCUAUGAUACUGAAACACAAUAUCAACGAAAUUACAAAAAGAUCUUUAAGAUUGACUGGGGGAUCCAUAGAAAUAAAUUGUUAUUCAUCAAUGAUAGCUGCUGCAUAAGUGGAUUGACAAGAAAACAUGAAUAAAAUCUUUUAACAUCUCUAUGCCCUAAACAUAGACAAGAAUACUCUAUUGGUAAAAACAUUAAAGCAAAACAGAGGAGAGAGAUAGCUAUGCCAUCAUUAAGAAGAAGACAACAAUUCCAGCAAAAACGAAAAAUAAUAACGAUGCAUUAAGUGGUGUAAUAAGCAUCAGCGAUAUAAAAUGUGAGCGGUGGAGAAGAAGAAACCAUAAAUGAGCAUGCAUAUCUAGCCCAUAAUUGCAUGUCUUGUCAAACCCGGUGAUGGACUAGAGCAUGCUGUGUUUAAUAAAAGUAAGAUGGCUAAGAAGUAAGAACAGAAACAAAUCCAGGGCAGAGCAGAUAACCUUAAUACUUCUUAAACCAGCAACUAUAAUGCCAUGCACAGGGUCUUCUCGAAGCUCCAAGUGGCCUGAUGACUUCUCUAGCAAAUCAUAGAUAACCUGAAAUAAGGCAGAUUGAUGAAUAUAUUUAACAUGAACUAAACGCAUGACUAAUAACUGAAAAGCAUUUUUAAUAUAGAAGCUAGAAAUUCACAACGUACUUCAUUAUAUACUUCAAGAUAAGAACAGGAGACUUCAAAGGUGUCAGAGCUCUCAUCUUUUUUAAUAAGGUCAAAAAUUGUGUGCAAACUCAGAACCAUAAGACCAGGGUCCUUUCGAGUGCCAACCAUCGUAUAUGUUUUGCCACUGUCAAAAAAUAAAUAGUAUGUAAUACGAUGCCAAGAAAUUUUUUUUCUUGAUAGCUGCUUCAUGAUUAUAAUAAAAUUUGGAGCAUAGAUAACACAACCCUGAGCUUUAUAAAGAUGCAAACAAUGUUAACCAAAAUCAUGAAAAUCUUUUAAAAAAAUAUAAAUAAAUUCAGAGAUGGGCAAAUCUAAUACAACAUACUUUUGAUAUUCUUAAUAUUUGAAUGGCAUAUUCUUAGGACCUUGCAAAACUUACGACCUUCCUAUGCGAGCUAAAAAAAUUGCAUAGCACAAACAAGAUGGAUGAGCAAUGAAAUAAGAAGAACAUUAAAAACCAAGUACCUUCCGGUAGAACCAUAUGCAAAUACAGUUGCAUUAAGACCUUGAAUGACCCCAGCGAUUGUUGACGAUAUGUUCUUAUACACAUCCUGAGAAAGAAUAAUAAAAGUUGAUAUAAAGUGAAUAUACAUAAAUUACUGACUGUACAAGAUAUGCAACAUUCAAAUAAUAACUGGAAAAAAAAUGGUAAAAUGAAUCUGCCGAUGCUUUAUCUAAAUACAUAUAGUAGUAUAACACAACUCCAAGAGCUCGAAGUGAUAGAUUUUGUUACUUUAAAGCUAAAGAAGUGAUUCAAAAACUACCAGUAAGCAACAAGAAACGAUUAUUAACCCUUUUUGGUUGUUGACAUCAUCACAUUUGGUUCAUCUAAUUUUCUCUGCGUUCACAGUUCACCGUUUGUCUGAACCCUACCCUCAUAUCUUGAGAAUAUAAUUCACAGAACUCCAGCUCUCAGAUUGUGCUCUAACUCCACAAAUUUGGUUACUAGAUGUAGAAAUCAUGGCACACACUCAAAAAAAAAAAAAUAAAAUAAAAUCAAGAUGCGACUAUUUACACUUGCUAAUCCAUUAUAUGGUUCUCCUGCUGAAAGCAGCAGAGCGAGAAAUCGAAACUUAUAGAGGGGACAGUGAGACAAUACAUUACUUAUUCACCUUCUAAAUUAGAGAAAUAAAGACCUUGCAGAUGCAAAAACUCUAUGAUCUGCAUACCGCAUUGGUACAUCCGGGUGCAUAUACAUGAUCAAAACUGUAUCUUCUCUCUUUCGUCCGAUUCUGGAUGAGGUCAAGGUAGUCCUUUGACAGAUCAGGGUCCAAAACAACUACAUUCUGUCAUUUAAGAACAAAAUUAUGCCUUAAUUUUCACGCGAACAGAAGAUGGUCUUUUAGAUGCUGAGAAAACAUAAACAUUUUCAGACCUUAUCAUCAAGCACUUGAAUAAUAUGACGGCUUCGCUGCCUUUCAGCUCCGGUCAAUGGCCGGCAUUUAACUGCAACCUGAAACAAAGAAUUUAAGGGGACAAUAUAUGCUGAGUAAUUCAAAAUGUUCGCAAAAAUUUAUCUAAAUCAUGCCCAAAAAGGGGACAAUAUUACAGGUAAAUCAUUUUGCACAUAAGUAACCUACCAAUAAAGUUGCAGUUUGCUUUGAAGCAGGAGGUCUAAUGCUCGGCAUUUUCGAUCAAAUGCCCAGCCCAAAUAAUGACUGUGUUCUUCGCCAAAAUCAACUACUUAAACCAAAUUUUUUCCCAUCAAUUGUGUCAAAGCUACGAUUUUUAACCCUGUUACAUAGAUUCUACCGAAUCUAAACCACAGUAACAAGAAAAAGGAGCACAAAUCAAGCUACAUUCCACCCUAAGAUACUCAACACCUUAUAUUCCACACUUUAAUCCACUACCAACUUCACCAAAACAAGUUAUAACUACAAUUUCUCAAAUGACAAAACCCUGAAUCCACCAAAUCUCCGCCAACAUACACCACAUUCUUCAGAGUAAAACAUCCACGCGAUCUCAUCCUACACUCUCCAAACUCUUGAGCUCUUACUGCGUCACAAAACCAAAACCUCUCCCAACUCACAAAAACCCUAAAUCUUCUCCAUUUUGACAAAACUUUCCCCCAAAAAAAGCAUUUUUCCAACAUCAACCACUUGAAGAACCAAUCUAAGCACACACUACACCAAAAAAAGAAAAAGAUUAACUUGGGGACCGCAUCGAAUUCGCGGCCACCGACAUGAAAGAGGAGAUAGAAGGGGUUUAGAGAGAGAGAGAGAGAGAGAGAGAGAGAGAGAGAGAGAAUCGGAGUAGGGACACCCUCUGCUCGGAAACUGUGGCGGUGACUAUAUUGCUUUUAUUUUUUUGAUUAAUUAAAUGUGGCAGCUGCGAGCGAGGGAAUCGACCCGUUACGGUACUUCGCGGAGAAACGUAAAUUAUUAAAAACAGAAAAAAACUAAAUUAUAGAAAACUAUUUAUAAAUAUUUUUUUUUUCUUCCUAAAUUCAAAAAAUCUAUAUUUUAUCUUUUUUAAUUUUUCAAAUUAUUACAUUUAUCCUCUCUUUUUCAAAAUUCCAUCACUAUUCAAUCCAUAUUUUAUAAUUUAUAUCACAAAUAUUUUUUAAAAUAACAGAAAUAUAUUAAAAAAUUAUUUAUUUUUUAUAAAAGAAGUAAGAGUAAUAUGGUCAUUUUAUCCGCUCUAUUAAUGUCUUACCCUCUGAAAAUAUUUCUAAAAUUUUAAAAAGAUAAAAUAUAGAUUUUUAAAAGUCAAAGAAUGAAAAUGAAAAUUCAGAUAUUUAUUAGGAGAUUUUUUAUAAUUUAGCCAAAAAAAUUAUCUAUGGCUUUCCCUUAUUUUUGUACUUUAAUAUUUUAUAAUUUUAACUAUAUCGCCCAUGUAGUUUCAAUUUUUAUUUUUCAAUACGCUCUCUGUUACACGUGUUCUAGUACAUAUGCGUCUGGAUUUUUUUUUUUUUUUUCUGUUGAAGACUUACCAAAAAAGAUCUUCAUUAAGCUCAAGUGGCCUCAUACAUUUUCUUAAGAUCUCAUGUCUUUUUUUAUCUAUCGCUAGACAUAUCAUACACACGUAUAUGACACACAAUGUAUUUAGCUAGACAUAUCAUACACACGUACAUGACACACAAUGUAUUUAAUAGAGAAGUUAAUACCGAGUGUAAGAUAAAAUAAAAACGAAGCGGAGAAUAAUUAAAUGAUACAGUGAAAAUCACAUAAAACGAAUUGGGAGAAUAAUUAAAUGAUACGGUUAAAAUCACAUAGUACUUUAAGUAAAAAAUAGAUUUUUCAAAAGAUAUAUAUACAUAAGUUUUUAAUUAAUAUUCACUACGUUUACAUACAAAUAUUUGAGCUUUGAAUUUUGGCAAAGAGAGACGUUCCAGUCCCAGCAAAAUUAAUAUUAUAUUAUUGCUAUUAUUAUUUUAUGAAGGAUUGUGGAGGCGCACGUCGGCUUCGGAGAGUGGGUGCGUAAAAAAGAUUACGGGGGGAGGGGGGCGUUGGGUUCUCGUUGUCGUUAUGCAUGUCUGGAUGUACGCAGCUGUCCAAUAAGAAGUAAACUGCUCCCCCCUCCGUCAUGUUAUGGUCUUUAAUUUCGACAGCGCAAGGGCAACAAGUAAAGACACACGCCGAGAUGGUUGGUGAGGUGGUGGUUACAUUACUUUUCUCACCACCUCCUUACAACCUUGUGUGUGUAUAUAUAUAUAUAUAUAUAGAGAGAGAGAGAGAGAGUGAGGCUACUAUGCUAUCGGAAGCACCGAGCCUUCCGUGCUUCCAGCUCGUUUUCGAUGUUGCGACUUUCGAAUCGUCGCUCCGUUAACAUUGAUAUCUAGAGUAUUUGACGUACCUAGAAAAUAAAUUUUAUUAUUUUUCGAUAUUUCGUUUGCUAGUGAUCGAAAUGGGCUCAAAUUCAACAAAUUUCAAUGGCCGUAGUGAGCCGUUUGCAAGUUUACGGGUGUAGAAAUAUCCAAAUCACGUGAAAUUUGAUAGAAAAUUCUUUAUACUAUAUAUAAAAGAUCAAUAUCUUUGAUUUAAAAUUUUGUCAUAUAUAAUUUUGUAAGAUUUUUAUUUAGCCUUAUUUUAAGAGCCCUUCGUUACCUAGGCAAAUGAUAUCGUAAAAUCUCAUAAAAUUAUUUUCUAGGUACUUCAAAUACUCUAGAUCAAGUUUAACGGAGCCGAUCGAGUGAUUCAAAUCUGCAACAUCGAAAAAACGAGCUGGAAGCACGAAGGCUCCGUGCUUUUCGAUAGCAUUAGUAAUGCCUCCAUCUAAAUAUAUAAUAUUUACUACUAGUGAGAGAAGAGAAGAGAGAAGAGAGAGAGCAAAUUAGCUCUUUAUACUUUAAAAGACUUGAUUCUAUUAGUGUUUAUAAGUUUUAGCCCUUGAUAUAAGGAUAUGCGGUUAGGAUGAUGUGGGCCCCUAGCGUUGAGGUGUUGUGAAUAGUAUAAUCUAAAGUGAAAAUAAUCAAAGGCGUAAUCUAACGAAAAAUUACAACGCCCAAUACUUGUACAUACAACAUCAUAGGCCGGACUAUAUAUAUAGUACUAUAUAUAAAUACUAUAUAUUUAUAUAUAUAUAUAUAUAUAUUUUAUACUAAUAUAAAUAAUUACUGCUUCUGAAAGUACAGAGCUCUUCGUACUUCAAUCGUUUUCGAUAUAGUGAAUUCAUCGUCGAUCGGCUCUUAAACUUGAUCUAUGAUUGAUGUUUGAAGUACUAGAAACAUAAAUUUUAUGACUUUUAAUACAUUUUCCCUAGUUGAUCGAUAUGGACUUCCCAAAAUCAAUAAUAAUGGCUGCUUUGUGAGUCGUUUGCGAAGUUAACGGUGUAUGAAUAUUUCCAAAUCAUUCACGUGAAAUUUUGAAGAAAAUUCCUUUUAUACUAUAUAUAACAAAAUCAUAUCUUUUGACCUAAAUUUUAUUAUCAAUAUAUCACGUUUUGGAAGAUUUUUAUUUUCAUCAAGCCGUUAUUUUGAACGCCCUUGUCACUAAGUCAAAUGAUCAUCGAAAAAUUGCAAAAUUUUAUUUUCUAGGUACUUAAAUACUCAGAUCAAGUUAAACUAAAUCGAUGUCGACUUCGAUUCGAAAGUGGCAACAUCAAAAACGGACCUGAAAAGCACGGAAGUCCCGUACUUUCAGACAUUAGUAGCCUCACUCUAUAUAUAUAUAUAUAUAUAUAUAUAUAUCGAUGCUAUUAAGCGCUUUGUACUAUAAAGUUUUUGGCGGUUAGAUUUUCUUUUUUGAUCAUUUUUAUCCGUUAAAUCUAUCGUUUUGAUUAUUUUUAUCCGUUAGACGAUAAUAUUCAACCAAUUACUCACUCAAUUCUAGAGGACCACUAUCAUCCUUACCAUACAUUAAUUCCUCCAUCCAAUUGCCGAAAAUCUAAUAGCACAAAUGAUUUUGUGUUAUUAAUAAUAUAGUAGCCUAGUUCUCUUUCUCUCUCUCUCUCUAUAUAUAUAUAUUUAUAAAAAUGUAUAGAACUUAUUUAAAUUAUAAUUUAUUUCGAUUUUACUAUUCAAUAUUUCAAAAUUUUGAUUUACUAUACUUUGUAUAGUUCUUGCCACUAUACAUUUAUUAAAAUAAAUAAUUAGCUUUAACUUUGAACUCAAAUGUCUUUAACCAACUCAAAUCAAAUAAAUUAAAAAAAUAGACAAUAAAAUAAGAAUUUUGAAAGUUUGGUAGUCGAUUUAGAAUAAUUCAUAAUUCAAAUAAGUUAUGUACAUUUUUACCAAAAUAUUUUCUCUGUUACAUAUAUUUUACAUAACUUUUAUCAUAUCUAAUAAAAUAUCUAAUAAAAUAUUUUCAUAUUACAUACAUAUAUUAAAAUGGUAUUAAAAGCAUAAUUUUAAUGUGCAAUUACAAUAACCACCUUUGGAUUUUGAAUUGGGAUGAAGAGAUUUGGGUUGGUGGAGACUUUGUGGUACACUUUAAGAGUAGUAAUCAUAUAAAUGAUAGGUAUGUUACUCAUAUAAAAUGAUAUAUAUAUAUAGAGUGAGGCUACUAUGCUAUUGGAAGCACGGAGCCUUCCGUGCUUCCAGCUCGUUUUCGAUGUUGCGACUUUCGAAUCGUCGAUCUGCUCCGUUAAACUUGAUCUAGAGUAUUUGAAGUACCUAGAAAAUAAAUUUUAUUAUUUUUCAAUAUCAUUUGCCUAGUGAUCGAAUUGGCUCAAAAUCAACAAAUUUCAAUGAUCGUAGUGAGCCGUUUGCAAGUUUAACGGUGUAGAAGUAUUCAAUCAGUAUGAAAUUUUGAUACAAAAUUCUUUAUACUAUCAUACAAUGAUCAAUAUUUCUGAUCGAAAAUUUUAGUGCUAUAUCACAACUUUUAUAGAAAUUUUAUUUUUAGCCGUUAAAAAUUAUUGAUUUGAAUCAUUUCAAUUGCUAGGUAAAUGAUAUCGGAAAAUCGUAAAAAAUUAUUUUCUAGAAACUUCAAAUACACUAGAUCAAGUUUAACGGAGCCGAUCGUCGAUUCGGAAACUCUAUCAUCGAAAACGCGCUCGAGGAGCACGAAGUAGGGAUGUCAAUAGGUAUGGUUACCCGAGAUUUUAUUCGAACCCGAAUCCGAAUGAAACGGAUAUAUCGAUGGAUAUGGAUAUGAAUUCGGAUAUAGAUAUAAAAAUAGAAACCGACGGAUAUGGAUUCGGAUAUGGAUUUUGAUUAUACCCGACUCGAAUCCGAACCGACCCGAACCCGAAUUUAUUUUGUAUUAUUAUAUAUAAUAUAUAUAUAAAAAUUUGAUUAUAUAUUUGAAUUUGUAUUUUAAAAAUUUAGAUUUAAUAUAAUAUAGUUUGAAUAUUGAAAAAAAAAUAAUUGUUUCGGGUUCAAAUUUCGGGUUCGGGUUCGGAUUCGGGUUUCGGAUUUUUGGUCUGGUUCGGGUUGGAUAUGGAUUUUUAAAAUCUGUCGGGUUCGAAUUCGGGUUCGGGUCUUGGGUUUGGAGUCGGGUUCGGAUUGGCGUGGUUUUUAAAAACCCGCCCGACCGUUGAAACUCUAGCACGAAGACCUCCGUGCUCGUGAGAGCACAGCAGUUAUGCUAGUAUAUAUAUAUAUAUAUAUAUAUAUAUAUAAAAGUAUAUAAUUGAACAGAUCAUUAUCAUAAAAAUAAAUAUAUAUAAGAUAAGGAUCCACGGCUUUCUAUCAAACAAUUUAAUAUUGCUUGUUUACUUUAUAUGUGACUUUCAAACAGUGAAAAAAAAAAUUGCAUAUGACUUUUAAUAUUUAGAUAAUGGGGUCCAUGAAGUGAAUGUUCCAAAAAUACAUGCUAAUGUUGAGAAAUUUUAAGUUGUAUUUUUGUUAUGAACUUAUGCGUGGUGUCGAAUUUAUUGCUUUUUUAAAACUACAAAUAAUAUUUCCAAAGAACUAUAAUAUUUGCCUAUUAAUUUUGUAAGGGUGUAUGACUUGGCGAUAUUCAAAUUCAAAAAUUAAUUUUAAGUAAUCCUAUUAGGUAUUAUUGCUAAAAGAGAUGGAUUUAUCGAAACUAAGAGCUUCUCUCACUGUUUUUUUUUCUUUUUUUUAUUUGUUUGCAAUUUUCUUCACUUGAAAUAUCUGUUAAAAAUUCUUAUUACUACUGCUAUAUUCUUGUUGCGGUAAAAACUACUUUAACACAAGUACACUCAAAUAAUUAAUUUACUCCGAUCAAUAUUAUUUAUAAAUAUUUACAACUUGAUCUUGAUUUUUAAAAUAAAUAAUAAUAUUUUUACAAUAUGUAUUAUUACUCUCUCUUUCUCUCUCUCUCUCUCUCUCUCUCUCCAAGUUUUUAAAUUUGUGUCACCUUGAUUUCAAACUGCUCUCACUUAUUCCUAAUUGUGUCAGUGUCAUUUAUGUCAAUGUCAUAUCAUCCCGAGUUGUGUUUGGAGAUAGCAGUGUCAUUCAUGUCAAUGUCACAUUAUAGAUUGAGUUGUGUUUGAGAUACACACACACACACACACACAUAUAUAUAUAUAUAUAUAUAUAUAUAUAGAGAGAGAGAGAGAGAGAGAGAGAGAGAGAGAGAGAGAGAGAGAGAGAAGAGAGGAGAAGGGGCUGGGCAAUCGCAGAAGAGUGAACGGGCUCUCUCUCUCUCUCUCUUCUCUCUCUCUAUAUAUAUAUAUAGAUAGAGAGAGAGAGAGAGAGAGAGAGAGAGAGAGAGAGAGAGAGAGAGAGAAGAGAGGAGAAGGGGCUGCUUCUGCUUCUCUCAACAGCUGAAGCCACAACGGUGGCUGCGAAUCCCGGCGUCGAAGGCGAAGGAUCUCUUUUCGUCGGUGCUCUAGCAAAAAGAGGAGGAGGAGGAGCNGUGGCAGCUUCAAAGAUGGUGGAGAGCAAGAAAUUUGCUGAGUUUUGUAAGUUCGAUUUUGCUCGCGGACUUGAUCAAAGUCGAUUAAUUAAUCGAUCUUUGUAUAGUAUUUGUAAAUGGGGGAUUGGACGGUCUCACAAUUUUACUAUCAAAACAAAUUAGCAUACUUUUGUUCUUAGCGUGAGCUGUAGAGGAUUUGCUUCUUUUUAAAAAUCCUAAUUCAAAUGGAUUGUUAGUACAAUACUCUAAAAUUACAAUUAGAGUACGUGAUAAUUAUCAAUUAAUUUGUACAUGUUACCCACUUAUAUCCUCACGUCUUAGGGUUUAUAAUAUAAGCGAAAACGCCAACUUGCUUUUAUAAGGUCAGAUUGGCAAAUUGGCCAAAUUGUUACCAAAAACAAGUACUCAGGAAUCUUCAGCUCGUAUGAAUUUAGUUAGAAUAUAUAUUUUUAAAAAUAGUAAAUAUUUUGUACUUUUAUGUUCUUUACGUUUAUGGGGUAUCUGAGUCGAAAUUUGACGAUAUUAAAUAUAAUCUACUGCAUAGGAAUCAAAUGUCAUAACCAUAUUAAUUACUGAAUUUAAUAAAAUAAAAUUAUCAUGUUAGGUUUACAAUUUGAAAAGAUUUUUUGACGUAAAAUGAAUAUACUAUGCCAUUCAUCUAAGUAAAAAUUUAUAACCAUAUAAAAUAACUUCAUUUUAUAUCUUGAGCUUGUUUAGAUAUUGGUCAAGUCAAUUGUUGAAAUUGAGAUCAAGCUUUAUAUAGAACAAUAACAAAUAAAAAAUUUAGGGUCCAUUUAUUUUUGUGCAUUUCGAAAGUUAAAUCCAUAACUUCAAGGAAGUCAUAUAGAUCAGCAUUCCAAAAUUACAAAAUCAUCCAAAUUCCUAUCUUAAUUAUAUAUAUAUGUAUAUAUAUUAAUUUUUCGAUUUCAAGGGAAUGAGUAGUAAUGUUGAAUUCGCGAAACUCAUAAAUUUCUUGUUGUCUCAUUUCAUGCUUCUAAAUUGCUUCCUAAUCGUUGUAUGUAAAAAAAAUAUAAAAAUAAAUAAAAGAGUUGGUGAAUAUUGAUUGAGUUAUUACGGAGUCUUAAGGAGAAGACUGGUGGGUGGGUGGGCCCACAAGCAGUAAAGGCGCGCCCUUUUGUUGGCGUCGUGUUGCUCCGGUUCAUGUGGGCCCCACCACAUCAAAUUUGGCGCCUCACGGGAACCCACACGUGUCGGUGCACACUGUCUUUUCGUGGUCGCACUUUUUUCUUUUUCUGAAAAGGUUAAAAAAAAGAAAAAGAAAAAAGAAAAAAAGAAAAAAAAAAAACACCACCUUUUUUAGCUGCACGCGCCCGCAGGGUACUUUUUGUGCGGAAUCGCGAAUAUUCCAUUGAGAUGAACUGGUUGAAUUGGUUGGGCGACUAAUGGGCCUAGUACGGCCCAGAAAAAAUGGAGCUCGACUUAUUGGCCCAAUUGGGCCCGUAAUAAUGUGGCCUCAAAAAGAUGCUAAGGAAAAGGGCCGGAUCUCCACAGAUCACUUUUCAUUUUCUAGCUUGCGAUUUUGUCACUGCGAUCUAGGUGGUUGGAUGUAAUUAGGUAUUUAGGAUGUGUUUGGUUUGAAAUCGGAAUCGGUAUCAAAAUCAAAAUAAGAAUAAGCUGAAAAUGGAAUCAGAAUUAUUCAUUAUCUCAUUCUGUUUGGUUCGACACCUAAAUCAGAAUCAGAUCCAAGUAUUGCAAUUAGAAAGUACUGCAAUUAUAAAUAAUUUAUUUGGUUGCAUAAAGUUAAUAAGUGCAUUUUCAAAUUUUGGUUACUUUGUAUAUAUGGCCGUGAUAUUUUAGGAAAGUAAACUUACCUUCUAUUUAAAUUUACCAUUUGCAACUGCUGUAGUUGGUACUGCAGUACAGUUAUAACUAUAUGCAACAAAAUAAGUCUCUAGUACUGUUGGAUUGUACCAGGUUAGGUGUUGGAUCUGCAAAAUAGAAACAAAUCUGGUUGAAACGAAAACAAAUAUAUAGGUGCAAGCGAAUCUGCACGCAUUCAUGUAACUGGGCCAAUCAAGUGUAAAUGAGGAAAGAUUUGAGCUGAUUCACCUGGUGGAUUUUGAAAGGAUUAACUUUACUGCUUAUUUUGCCUUGAUUCUGGCUCAAAUCAUAAAUAUUGUUAGUAUCAUUUUUAAUAAUUUUAGCAAGUAUAAGUAAAUUUAGUAAUUUAAAAUCAAAUUUUCAUAAUUCAUAUUUUCACAUAUAAAAAGUUAUUUCUAAAAAUACUCUUUCUUUUGUUUUUUUUGGUUGCUGAAAACAGUACAUUUUUUCUAUUCACUUAAUUGACUUAUUAGAAACGAACUGGAAUUUAGAUCAAAGACCAAUCCAAAUCACUUGGCAUUUCUCAUCUCAUGUGCUAUGAGCCUAUGACCAAACAAAUAUUAAAACAGAAUAAAUAUUUUAAAUACCCUCAUAAUUCGAGGAUCAAAUGUACAAUUUAUCCUUACAAUAAAUACCAAAAAUAUACAUAAUUUAUCUGAACUACAGACUAUUUUGAAUUAGCAGCUUUCUAAUCUUUUAAAAUUAUAGUUUUACCAUCCAACUUUUUAAUUGUUUUAAUUUGAGUCAGUCAAUAGUACUGUGAUUUAAAUCAAUUAGUUACUUUAAUAAAUAGAUAGUUGUGAGAAUUGUAUGAAAUGUAGUAAUUAAAUCUGUAAAAAUAAACGAUAUAUUUAAAUUUUAAAGUUAAGAAUAUAUAGUUGACUGGCUCAAAAAUAAAUAAAUAAAUAAAAUUAGAUAGUAAAAUUAAAGUUUUUUAAAAAUUAAAUAACUAAUUUAAAUUAUUUUUAGGUAAGAUAAAUUUUGUAUGUUUUUACUAAACAAAUAUUUAAUCAAAUCUCAGGUUUAGACCAAAUUGACCCACCACUUCUAUGUUUCCUUGACUCGUCCUCUAUAUUGUGCAUCUUCUCAUCCAAAAUAGGGUCUUUUUUUGUUUUGCAAAUGGUCCUCUCAAAAAAUUUUAGUUUAAAAAUAGCUCUAAUAAAUUUAUAAUUGCAAAAAUAGUUCUACUCCUGGCAGACAAACACCACAUGGACGGACUGGGGCCUGCUUGGCAAGUUGAAUAUAAUGAACCAUUCACCAUGUUCAAAUAUGGUGAAUGGUUCACCGUAUUUAUUUUGGUUAUUCGCGCUGCUUGAUGUAUACCUUAAGGCUUCGUUUGGUUCAGAAAUUAGUAGGAAUUAGUUAUACCGGGGAUAGGUACAAGUAUGAUUUUUUUUAAGAACAAGGGUAUUUUUUUGUUUGGAUGAAAAUGUCCUCAUAAGUUAGAACUAGAAAAAUUGUAUUUGGAUGGUUAUUGGGAAUAAGAAGAAUAGUUGUUAGUUAUAAAUAGAAAAUAAUGAUACUACCCUUAUAAUUGAACAAGCCAGACCCGCCACCCAGUCCGCCCGCGUGGCACUUACGUGGCACCUGCGUGGAAGGGGUAGAACCAUUUUUGUAAUUAUAAAUAUAUAGGGCCUGCUUUAAAAUAAAAUGUUUGAGGAGGCCAAUUGCAAAAAAAAGCCCUCCAAAAUAUUAUUUUAUCGAUACAAAUCACAAAAAGCACGACCUCCACACACCAAAACCCUUGUCUUCUUCCUCGUCCUACUACUCCUCGCCACUACCAUGGCGGCGGCGGCGGCGGUCUCCUCCGCCACCCUCCAUGGAUUCCGGCGACUGAGCUCCGUCCCUCUCCGCUGCCCCCUCCACCUCCGAUCCCCCCUCUCCCUUCGCCCCCCGCGGCGGCGCCUCUCCUCCACCACCGCCGCCUCGGCAACCCCCUCCGCGCUCCUCAAAUCCGAGAUUCGGACCAAGGAGGAGGGCGAGUCCGAAACCCUAGACUACAGGGUCUUCUUCCUGGACGCGUCCGGGAAGAUGAUCUCGCCAUGGCACGACAUACCCUUGAGGUUGGGCGAUGGGGUGUUCAACUUCGUCGUCGAGAUCCCGAAGGAGACGAGCGCGAAGAUGGAGGUGGCUACGGAUGAGGCCUACACUCCUAUUAAGCAGGAUACGAAGAAGGGGAAGCUUCGAUACUAUCCGUAAGCAAAAAUUUUAUCCUUGGAAUUUUAUUUUUGUUUUUUUUUUUUCUCUCUAAUAAUACAAGUUUAUAAGCGUUACAAUACGUUCCUGUCGCAGCUUAAGUGUAUAUAUAUAUAUAUAUAUUUUUUUGUCUGAUACUUUAUAAUCAGAAAUUAAUUUAAUGAAGUUGUUAAAUUCGAACACAUUUCAUGGUUGAAAUUUCUUGAGAAUUUUUCAGAAAUCAGAAGGAAUGAAAAUAUGUGGUAUCAAAACUUUAAAAUUUUAGGUACCAGUUCUGAGAUGAACUACAGUUCGGGUAAAGUUUAUACACUUUUUACCUUAUUGAUCUACUGAAAUUUUUUUUUUUUUUUUUGCUACUGCAAUAUUAUAGUGAUGUUGUUUUGCUCCUGUUAAUGAAGUAUCUGUAGUCAAUAUUUGUUUUUGAACUAAUUACUAAUUUGAAUUUUUGUUCCAUUUUGAUGCUUUUAAUUCAUUAGUUGUUCCUUUUCUUACAAUUCAUGGUCCUCAGGUAUAACAUUAAUUGGAAUUAUGGAUUGCUCCCACAAACAUGGGAAGACCCAUCUUUUGCGAAUGCAGAAGUUGAAGGAGCGCUUGGGGAUAACGAUCCUGGUAAUAGAACUUGUAACUUUUUCUACUCCUCGUCAUUUCCUUUAAUCCUAAUGUAUGCAAUUAGCAUAUAUGUGACAAAAGCGCAUUUCUUGCAUUGUAAUAUCCCUUUUUUUCUCCUCCAGUUGAUGUUGUUGAGAUUGGUGAGAGGCGUGCUAAUAUUGGCGAUGUUCUUAAGGUGAAACCUUUAGCAGCUUUAGCCAUGAUUGAUGAGGGGGAGCUCGAUUGGAAGAUAGUUGCUAUUUCUUUGGAUGACCCUAGAGCUUCUCUUGUUAAUGAUGUGAAUGAUGUCGAGACACAUUUUCCGGUACGAAUUAUAUUCGCACAUAUUCUUUUAUUUUAUUGAUAAAUGUAGGUUCUUUCUUCAUAAUACAUGCACUGCUUUUUUUAUAUUGUGUAUUUGCAUGCUAUUAUAGGCUCUUCAUGGAUUGGAGUGUGGAAGUGGAUUUCUGAUGAUUGAUGAUUUCAAAUGGUUUAGAUCAUUAGCAGAACUACAUCAAAGCAGUUAGAAUUGACGUUUACAGUUUCCAGUCAAGUUUAUUUAAUUAGUGACGAUGCUUCACUUUGAAAAGUUCCUUGGUUUUGGUGUAUAUUUUUCAGCUUAUGAGAUUAAUUUAUCACAUGUGUAAACUUUUCGACAGAGCGGUACCCUUAUUCGUCCAAUUAAGAAUUGACCUUUACAAUUUACCAUGUCAACUCAUUAUUUCAGAGAUAACCUCACUCAGCUUAAGUUUAUAUCUGACUUGCAACCUAUCAAACAGUUUUUCUCCAAUUUACUGUAUUUGACACACGGUUGAUUGAUGUUCUGUAUAACUUCAGCUGAUUAAGUCCACGAGCUUGUGAGAAAAUAUGUACUUGGAUUAUUAAUUUGUAGCCAUGAUAUAAUGUUUCUCAUCUCUAAUAUUGACGAGUCUAGAUCAACCAGUAGUGUAUGUAGUAAGAAAUUUGGUCAUGAAGAAUGCUCCCUGUAUUUUAUACCCAGUUAAUUCUUUUGACUUGAGUAAAUCAGUUUCUAUUGCAAUGCGAGUCAGAGAAAGCACUUAAUUCCCAGUUGUGCUGUAAUAACUGCUAUUCAGCACAUGCAGUUGAAGAGUUUUGAUUUUUAUUUCUUGUUUGUAUCUGAGACAAGUUAUUCCUUCAUCAGGGAACUCUUACCGCUAUUCGCGACUGGUUUAGAGACUACAAGAUUCCCGAUGGAAAGCCAGCUAACAAAUUUGGCCUGGGUAACAAAGCGGCUAGCAAGGUAAAUUGGGCGUGGUUGUCAAGUUCAUUAUCUAGGAAUCCACUCUUUAAACAUUUGACAUAGCAUUCUAUCUAGCCUCAGUACAAUGUUUCUUUCUCCAUUUUAUUGCUUUUGUUUUAAAACUUAAAAACCUAUUAUUCACUUCAUAACAUAAUAAGAUUGUUCGUCUUUUCGGCCUCUAGACAAGGGAUGGCACUGCCUAGGAAGAUGUUACGAAAUUUCUAUCUGCAUUGUGUUCAGUUUUUCUGAUAGGUAAAUGUAUUGCAGAAAAAGAGGGAAGGAUAGUGAAAAGUCGUCAAAUGGGUCUUGCUUAUUUAAAAUGUUAAUGAGCACAUAUUACAUUGUUUCUGGCUUCUGUGGCUUCUAUAGAAGUUGGAACUGCUCGUUACGAGCUGAACAAUAUUCUUAGCUCAUAAUUAUACAAUAAGAGACAUACACAUUUUGUACACUGACGAUUUUGUUGUUUCCUUUCUUCUUGUGAGUAGGAUUAUGCUUUGAAGAUCAUCGCGGAGACAAACGAGUCGUGGGCAAAACUGGUGAAAAGAUCUGUUCCGGCUGGGGAGCUUUCCUUAGUAUGAUCUCAUUUUCUGGUUGUGGUCAUCAGGACUACAAUGUCCUUUUCUAUGAUGUAUUUAAUCAUUCUAUAUUGCUAUUGUGAAAUAAAAUUGUGGCGCGGAGAGACACUUCGAGAAUCCUAUGGGAUUGUUCCGCGGAUCUUGUAGCAUUAUUGAUGGAAGUGUUAUUGGGAAAAUUUGAUUAUCUGCGGCAUUGGAUAAACUCUCAUUUCUGCAAUAGCAAAGUUUGGAGUAUUGUUAUGUAGUCUUUCCUAUCCUUCAUUUGAAACUUUCUAAAUUAUUUCCUUAGCCAAGUAGAAUCAGUUUAUUUUCCAGUAUUAUUUUAUUGUGUCCAUUAGGGCAUGUUUGGUUGUCCGUAAGUGAAACAAUAAAAGUGGUAUUUUGACGAAGUGAGAUUAUUUCGAUUGUUUAGAUUAUAAAAGUAAUAUGUCAGUGACUUUUGAAAAGUAAAUCCAUAAAGUGGAUUAUAAUUAAAAUUCACUUUUUUGACUUCGGCCAAAAGAAUUCCGAAUUUGUUGAAAGUGGGCGACCUACUCCACGCAACUUUCAAACCGCAUCCAAAACCUUUUUCCAUACCAUCUACAAAAAAUAAAAAAUAAAAAAACCACCGUAUCUUAACAAAAAAAAAAUCAACAUAUCUUUUUUUUUAAAAAAAAUAAAGAAAGAGACGUGCCUUAUUCCAUACCAUCUUAAAAAAAAAAAAAAACUACGCAUCUAAAAAAAUCAUUUUAUUUUUUUAUUUUUUUAUAUAGAACCAAACAAUAGAAGUUUAAAAUAAAAACUACGCAUCUAAAAAAUUAUUUUAUUUUUUUAUUUUUUUAUAUAGAACCAAACAAUAGAAGUCAUAAAAAUUGUAUUUUUUUUUUUACUUUUUUGAAACCAAACACUUGAACUCAAAAGUAACUUAUAUAAAAGUCACUUUUUAAAAAGUGACUAUUUUCACUUCGAUCACUUACAGACAACCAAACAUGCCCAUAGUGUAACUUAACCCAUGUUUUUGACUCCGGUUGCAAAUCAAUGUGUGAAAGGAAACUAUUUUACUAUUCUAUUUGGGGACAGGUUAGUGAUCUUUUUUUUUUUCUCCCCAACUUGAUAAGCUCUUAACUUAAAAUUGUCAUGUUCAAUUAGUUCUUACUCAUCAAUUAUUAAGACAAAUGUUAUUUUUUUUAUUUAAUAAAAGGCCAAAAUUAGCCCGGCCCGUUAACAUUGGGCCGUUUUUGAUGGGUUCACGUACCGAUUCGUUUUAAGAUUCGUGCGAAGCCUAAUGCAGUGCUCAUCGUUCCAAAUUCCCUUUUCCCCCUCCCUCCUCAGUGAUAACCCGAGCUUUGUGUUGUAGUAGUAUUCGACUCUUCGAUCAGAACCCUAAUCCAUGGGCCUCCUCAGCAUAAUCAGGAAGAUCAAGCGCAAGGAGAAGGAGAUGCGCAUCCUCAUGGUGUACGCCCCGCUUCUCCCUCUCCCCCAAUUCCGCCCUCUCGAUCGCACCUCGCUUUGCUAACCCUAGCUCCUCCGAUCUCACACAGGGGCCUCGACAACUCGGGGAAGACGACGAUCGUGCUCAAGAUCAACGGCGAGGACACCAGCGUCAUCAGCCCCACCCUCGGCUUCAACAUCAAGACCAUCAAGUACCACCAUCAUCAUCAAGACCAUCAAGUACCACCAUCAUCAUCAAGACCAUCAAGUACCACCAUCAUCAUCAAGACCAUCAAGUACCAAAAGUGAGUGCCACAACCCUCGCCAUUUCGAUCUCCAUUCGAUCCUUUGUUGCGUAUGUGCGUGCUGUGAAUCGGGGGUGGAUUAGGGUUUGAUCGCGGGGCGAUUUAGGUAUUCGCUCAACGUGUGGGAUGUAGGGGGCCAGAAGACCAUUCGAUCCUACUGGAGAAACUACUUUGAGCAAACGGAUGGGCUGGUGUGGGUCGUCGACAGCUCCGAUGUGAGGCGGCUGGACGAUUGCAGGGCCGAGCUCCACAAUCUCUUGAAAGAAGAGGUUUCUUAUUUUUCCUCACAUUUUAUAUACUAAAAGUCUUAGAAUAUAAUGUUUGUUCAGCUCAGUAAUUCGAUUUAGUUGAUAUUUUAGUUGGCUUAUAAUAGUAUCAACAUCAUGUUUGUGUAUUCUUAAACAUCAUGCCGAUAAUGUUGUUGAUUAGAUUGAAGCAUAUGAACACUGUAGAGAGAAGAAACUUUCAAUUGUUUUUGUUUAUUUUCGAUUGUAAAUAGGCUGGUUGUUUAUAAUGAUAAUUGCGGGUUUAAGUAACUUCAAAAAAUUAAGUGAACAGCCACGAAUUAACGGUUCUGAAGUUUCCGACUUAUUAGCAGGGAAAUAAGAGAAAAUAAGAGAGAGAAUGAAAGAGAAAAGGAAAAAAAAGAAAAAUUACUUAACUCUCUCUUAUUUUCUUGGAGGAGUGGAAGAAAGAAGAGAAAAUAACUUUCUCUCCCUUCCGCUCCACUUUGGGAGAGACCGAGAUAGUUAACAAACUGACCAUUAUGGAAGGUCAUUUACUCUGUUUCGAUUAAGUCUCAUAACUUUCUCUUCUUCUCUCUUCUUUACUCUCCACCCAAAUGGUGUGUUAUUCAAUAUCUUAGCUGACCCUAAUGAACGAUAGUGUCUUAUUUAGUGGAUGACGAAAUCAAUGGAUCUCUUGUUCUGUAAGACCGCACAAUUGCUAAUAAAGUCAGACAUAGUUUUUCAUUUGUUAAAACAGCACAGUAGACUUGAGUUCCAUUUUUUUAGUCAUCACAUCAGAAGUUGAACUUUUUUAUUUUUUUUUGUUGAUAAAAUCUCAUACCUGAAACAGUGGUGAAGUAUUUUGCUAGCGCUAUAUUCUGUAACCGAUAAUUUCUUUGGUCAUGUUUCACAAUCUCCCCCUGCUUUUGCUUUUGACAGAGAUUAUCAGGAGCCUCCUUGUUGAUAUUUGCGAAUAAGCAAGAUAUUCAAGGUGCUCUUAAACCGGCAGAAAUAGCUAAGGUAAGUAAAGUGCAUGCAUAAGUUUCCACUACAUUUUCCAACAUAAGGCUAGGUAAUAACUCUGGAAAUAGUACGUGUGAAAGGAAAGGAGGAAAAAAAGAACAACAUAAUUUUAUUUGGAGAUUUAUUUCUGUUUAUUUACAUUCUUUUUCUUGGUUUUACAGCAUUUCCCAUCUAGAAUUUGGUUUUACAUAAUUCUAUUCAGUAUAUAUAGUUUCUUGUAAACGACUAUCAAGAAUUUUAUGCAGCAUUUCCUGAUGUACUCACAUGCAUCUAUUUUGUGUUCUUGUACUUAUUUGUCAAUCCAACAUAUAUUGUUAAUAGUAGGAACCUAAAAAUAGGUCAUGCACAAGCACGAUUAGGUGAGUUUGUCCCACGUGAAAAUUGAGAAUGGCUUUGGCUUAGAUGUGGUAAAGCUAGGGUUUGAAAGUUGAAACCAACAGAAGACUGUUAGGCAAUCUUGUCUUAGAUGUUCCUCAAAAUUCUUUUCGAUGAAAUGCAGCUUGUAAUUAUACUGGCUUCAAACAUGGUAUCAGAACGAUAAAAGACAAAGCGGUCCCAUUAAACCCAACAGCACAGAAACCCGAUUUCAUUUAUAUUUUUCUUUUUUGCAGUUACGAAAGACUUUUCACGAUUAUAAACUUUCUUUGUGCUGUUCUAAGGGUGCAUUUGGCAUUGUUUUCUUCUUAAGUUUUAUGCAAUUGAAUAAUUGUAGGGACAGACUACUUUAUUCUUCUUAUUGUUGGUUAUUUUGCCAUGACAUCUUUUUCAAAAAGUUGAGAAAACGAAGAAACUCAUUACUACAUUUUUGUUUCUUGUUGUCAAACAAAACCCAAAACAAAUUUUGCCAUCAAUGUGAAACAACAAAUAAUUUGUAAGUCAAGGUAAAACAAGAAUUGAAGGCACAAAUAAUGCCACUUUGGGCAGCAAGCUUUUGUUUUUGCAAAUUUUGGCCAAUACUCGGCGUUGCUUGAAGUUCUGAGCUUAGAUUGUGAGGCGAUAUUUUUGCAAAUUUUUCCAGGUUCUGAACUUGGAUGCGAUGGAUAAAACACGGCACUGGAAAAUAGUGGGCUGCAGUGCUUACACUGGGGAAGGGCUUCUGGAAGGAUUUGAUUGGUUGGUUCAAGACAUCGCCUCUCGCAUCUACUUGUUGGAGUGAAGCAACUUUUAAAUCUGAAAUGUGACAUUAUGGGUAAGAUCAAAUCAAUCCUAAUUUUUGAUUUGCACCUAAGAAGAUUAUCUGUGUUGCUGCAUAUCAGUUCAUUCCCUAUUUAAAUUGAACCUUUAGGAAACAUGCUUACGGGAAGCGAAUCAUCUGUUGUGAAUUUCUCAACACUAUUACCAACUUUUUGCUUUCAUGGGCCUUGAAAGUUUACACUUUUCAUACGAGGAGUCAAAAAUCACCAAGCCAAUACUUUGUUUGCAACUUUUUUGAAUUCUAUGAGCUCCAUGCAUAUCAUCUUUUGUUCCUUCUGUUUUUGAAUUUUAUUAAUUAGUUGGGCCGACCUAAUUAUCUGUCCUGCGUCUGGUGAAGCCAAGGCUUGGGCUUUGACUUGUUGCAGCCCAGUCCAUGGUGCCCUUUUCGGCUUAAGGCAUGAAACCAUUGGGAGCUUUUAUAACUCACUUUUAGGUAUGCAAUAGUAUAUAUAUAUAUAUAUAGAACACACCCCGCUUGAAGCCGGAUUUGAAUUCGGCUGACACUGCUUGCAGGAGGGAUACCUAUCAACUGUCCUAAGAGUGGUGUUAACUUGAUGCAGGAUUGAUAUGGUUAAAUGAAAUUGACUAAUAAGAUGCACAAAGCUGAGCAAUGUAUUUGGGCCAACAUUAAAGGAAUCCUAAAGUCUUAUCAAACCGGGUUUCGAUCAAAUGCUCGGUCCAUCUUAAAACCAACCCGAAUCAGGAGCAGUUAAAGAUAAUUUAAAAUCCAAGCUUGAAUCAUGUUAAGUAAAAGAGAAAUGCUCAUUGUACAUCUAAAACUGAGGCAUUAAUCCGGCAGCCGUUUAUCCAAGAGUUCUGAUGACCCUUUUGGAAUUUUUAAAUCAAAUGAAAAGAAGACUGAUAAGUGUAGUCUAAAAUUAUUGAUCUCUGGGUCCGGUGUAAGAUUUAUUUUCACUUUUUUUUGGGUAUACAGCCACAUUGCUCUGAAUAAAAUUGUGUAUCUUUUGUGGAUCCUUCCAUAAAACGGCCUCUAACCCCCAAAUGUUGGCAAAGUAAUCUUUUAUGCUCUAGGAAUCGGGCUUCAAGUAUGUUCUAUCUGUUAAAUAAAGAAAUGUAUAAACACUGUUCUCUAAUAGUAUAAGUUAGUUUUUACAGGACAAUGGUUGUUUCAUAUGGUGUCAGAAUAGAAGGUUCUGAAUUCGAGUCACGUCAGGCUUCUAAUAUUAUUAAUUUCUUCUCAUUUAAUUCUUUUAGAGUAUAAUGGUUGUUUCACACUAUCAGGAUGUAUUUGAUUGUAAAAGGUUACAAUGGGUGCUCUAAAAUUUGAGUUGAGUGAUAUCUGGAAGCGGAUGCCACAUCUGAAAAUGAAAAUGACGUGUCUGAUGCAAAAUUAGAGAUGAUCUUCUAAGAUUUCAGUUGAACGAUAUCUAGUAGAGAAUAACGACUUAUCUGAAAAAGACGUGUCUGGUGAAAAUAUUUUACUCGUUUGUUGACAUAGAAUAUAAUUUAUGUCCACCAGUGUAAAAAAGCCGACAUAGAUAUUCGGCGUUCCGCGUUCAAAUAGUGAAACAACACACUAGUUGGAUUUCUCCCGCGACACCUAGUAGUGUUUAUUUUGUCUCUUUUUGUUGCUUUUCAAUCCAAUCCAAUCCAAUACAUGUAUGAAAACUCAAAUUUUUUCGUCUGAGACUAAUAAACGGUGAGAAGUUGAUGGAAAAUGAGGCUCGCAAAUUUGUCCAAAGAAAGAAGACGACGUUUCUUGAAAUUUCUACAAAUGGAGUUUCUCUAAAAUUGCUUAAACAUAGAAGCUUUAGGCUUCGUUUGGGAUUUGGAAUCGCGGGUAGAUUGCGUUACGUGCGGUAAAAAAGUAUGUUGGAAAAAUACCCUGGUUGUUUCCGUACGUAAUUUUGCGUUCCGCAUAUGUGAUGAGUUGGUUAUGAUAUAUUUUCUGCAGUUCCACCGGAGAACGCAGAAGUAUAUCCCUAUAUGUUUUUUUCUCAACUCUAUUUUAUCUAAUAGCGUUAGAUAGAGCUUAAUGCUAAACUAAACCUUAGUAUUUUGUCGAUAAGGUAAGAACAUGCCAUUUUAAUUUGACUAUCUAAUUUUUCAAUAUUUUGUAUUUCACUAUUCAAUUUUUUUAUUUAUUUGAUUGAGUUAGUCAAUAAAUUUAAGUAAUUCGCAUUAAAUAUACUAACUAAAUCUAUAAAGAUGAAAGGCGCACACAAAUUUUGAAGUGAAAGUGCCGCUGAUCAAUUCAAANGAUUCAAAUUCAAUAAAUAAAAAAUUUGAGUGGUAAAAAAUCUAAAAUUUUAAAAGAUUAGGUAGUAAAAUUAAAAUACUCUAUAGUUGAGUUUUUUUUUUUCUUUUUUUUUUUUUGGUAUCCGCAGCGUAUAAGUUAAUUUAAGCUUUCUGCUGCAACAAACUAUUUAUUUCUUUUAUUUGUCAAAGCAAAGUUGCUUCUGAAGCCAAACUAAAUUAAAUCCAAUUUUUUACUAUAAUACAUAUGUAAUUUCUGAUAAAUUAAGUACAAUUUAUUAUAACAAAAAUAUUUAUUAACAAAAUUAUCAUUGUAAAUAUAAAAUAAACUAAAUUACAGAAAACCCCCGUCAAUACCUGUUUUUCUACUUUUCCUUCUUGUUAGUCAAAAACUUACAUUUUGUCCUCUUAAAAACUAAAAGAUAUUCACUUCGGUCUCCACCGUUAGUGUUCCGUUAAGAUUUCGUUUAUAUUUUAUUUUUAUACCCAAAGUACUCAUGAAAUCCUCAUCCAUACAACACACAUGCCCUCGGCAGCUGCCUUGCUCUCACCCACCUCUUUGUUCAUGUCCAGACACACGCCCUCGCCUUCCUCUGCUGCCGGGAUGAGCAAGAUUGGAGAAGAGGAGAUAAAGAAGAUGAGGACAAUUUGGUCAUUCUGUCACACCGUAUCCAUAUGAAUAUUUAUUAUUUUUCAAUAGGGCAAAGUGUAAAAUUUCGAAUGACAGAAAGAGGAAGUAAAAAAGCGGGUAUUGAUGGGAAGGUUUUAUAUAACUUAGCCUAUAAAAUAUAAAACAUUUUUAAAAUGCUGUAAAUUGGUGGAACAAAGUACUUUUGUAU